CAAUAGCGUAUAUUAAAGUUGUUGCGGUUAAAAAGCUCGUAGUUGGAUCUCGGCAGGCAGGGGGUGGUUCGCUCUUAGCGCUACUGCCCCAUUUGCCUGUGUGAUUGGCGGAGGUUUCGGGGUGCUCUUCGUUGAGUGACCCGGGGCGCCGUCAGGUUUACUUUGAAAAAAUUAGAGUGCUCAAAGCAGGCUUUUCACGCUUGAAUAUUCGUGCAUGGAAUAAUGGAAUAGGAACUCGUUUCUAUUUUGUUGGUUUUCGGAAAUCGAGUUAAUGAUUAAUAGGGACAAUUGGGGGCAUUAGUAUUCAGACGACAGAGGUGAAAUUCUUGGACCGUCUGAAGACUAACUACUGCGAAAGCAUUCGCCAAGAGUGUUUUCAUUAA
rnacentral:rRNA from 1 species